UUGUAAAGCUUGCUUGCGUGAUACUUCAAAAAAAGUUAGUUCUUCCACCUUGCAAUAAUGAUUCAUCUGUAUUUUCAUCAUAUGCUCGAACUAUGCGUGCACUUGGCACAUUAUUUGUUUUUUUGCCUUGUUUUGGUUAUACUUGCAGUGCCUGGAGAAACUGAAAAGCCUGGUUGUCAGUGAUGAUAGGAAAGUACUGUAUUCUAAGUACUUGCUCCAAGCACUUCUCCCAUACCUGA
rnacentral:misc_RNA from 1 species